rnacentral:lncRNA from 1 species
GGGAAAGCUGGGCGCGCGAGCCGAGGCUGCUGCUCACCUGCAGCCGCGCCGCUCACCUGCCGCGGAGUGCGCGCCCCGCGCCCUCCCGGCCCGCUCCGGAGCCCGGCCGCCCCCCCCUUGCCACAGCGGGCAACUGCGCCGACAUGCGACACGAGUAGCCCACGCGCUUCGGAAGCACCGGAGGAGCCCCCUCGGCCUGGGCGAGCCAAGAAACCAAGAGAUCCAGAAAGCGCUCUGUCUCAUUUGCUGCGGCUGCAUCCCGUCCAGUCUCGCCCAGAGAGCGCGCUCGCCCAGUGAUGUGUAGCACCCUUGCACCCAGGAGGACUCUGCAUUUACCAAGCACUUCCACUGCCUGGCCAAGGUUUGAGAUGCUUCCCUUGAAUUCCUUGCAUUGGAUUCCCUCUCAAGCCACAGGAGCACUUAGCAUUCGUGAAACAAUGACAUCGUUCAGAUGAAUGGAGUCUCGCUGUCACCCAGAGUCGAGUGCAGUGGCACAAUCUUGGCUUACUACAACCUCCGCCUCCCGGGUUCAAGCGAUUUUCCUGCCUCAGCUUCCCGAGUAGCUGGGACUACAGGUGCGCACCACCACACCCAGCCUUAAGUUUGAAUAAUUUGUAAUUACUACUGGCUAUAAGAAAUCCUUGUUAUAGUUGAAUAAUAAUUAUCACUAUAAGGGCUAACACUCUGCACUCAAUUUGUUUCAGGGGCCAUGCUAACGACUUUAUGUGUAUUGACUUAUUUAUUCUUCACAUCCACAAAGAUGAUAUUUGGUAGUAUUAAUUCUACUAUUUAAAAGGAGAGUGUUCACACAUGCAAAUUGAGAGUGAUUCUUAUAACCCUUCUUUUGUGUCUCCUAAUCCUGUGUUGUACACAUCCCUGGAGCUUAACACACUUUCACUAUGUCUGGGCCAAAACUCUUCAACAAUUUAUUGGCUUAAUAAUCAAGGUUGCAUUUCAGAAGCCAUUGCAUUUAAAUACAGAUUGUAUUAUGUUUUUGUGCCUAACAUAUCAGUACAAAAUUUGACAGACACAGUAGUCAUUGUGAUUCUUUGUCAUAUCUGGCAAGCUAUGAAGAGGGGUAGGCAAAAGUCCAGAACCCGUCUCUAUCCUGCCAAAGUGUGUGGCCCUUGCCAGACCUCACCAGUGUGUCUUUCUCGCAUUUUUGAGAAGGGGCAGGGAAACUCCACACAUGGCAGAGUGAUGAGCUUGUGGAAAUAAUAAUGACACAACUAGAUUAAUGUGUGCAAAUAUACAGUGAGAUGGAAGAAAUGAGACCUGGUGUUCAGAUGAGUAGGAUGCCACAGUUAACAUUAACCAGUUGUACAUUUCAAAAUAACUAGAAGAGAAUACUUGAAGUGUUCCUAGCAUAAAGAAAAGAUAAAUGUUUAGGUGAUGGAUAUGCCAGUUACCAUGAUUUGAUUUUAUGAAUGUAUGAAAUUAUCACAUGCAUCCCUAAAAUAUGUACAUGUAUUUUUAUCAAUAAAGAAUUAAAAAAUAAAAUGAAUGACAAAAAGUAAUGACACUAUAUUUAAAAGUCACAGCAAACAGCACAAUGUAUUGAGUAUUUGCUGUUCCAGGCACUGUCAUAGGCGUUUUACAUAAGUGAAUUCUUUUCAUCUUUACAAUGACACAGUGACAUUUAGGUACUUUUAUUAUCUCCCUCUCACAGAUGAGGAAAUUAGGGAUUGAAAGAUGAAGUAACAUGCCACGAUAUCCCACCUGUUAAGUGGCUGGUCCAUCCAAGCCUAGAACCUCCCUCUUUACUACUAGACACACUUGCUUCCUGUCUGUCCUUGAGGAUUAACCUGGUGUUUGUCUCUGAGGCCCAACUACAUGAUAUUCACACCAACUGCAAUUCCUGGAAGACAUAGAUGCUCAGAAUUUCUUUGUUGUAUUGCCUCUAAAUAGAAGGCUAUUUUCCACCAAUGUUGGAGCCAGAUUCCUUGCUUCUGCUUAAACACCUGAACACAACUUAAGUCAACUGCAUUAAAGGUGUGGACAGGCCGGGCACGGUGGCUCACGCCUAUAAUCCCAGCACGUUGGGAGGCUGAGGCGGGCGGAUCACGACAUCAGGAGAUAGAGACCAUCCUGGCUAACAUGGUGAAACCCCGUCUCUACUAAAAAUACAAAAAAUUAGCCGGGUGUG